AAAAAUGAUUUCAUUAAUGACAAUCAUAUAGAUAUGUGAUAUGUCCGAGAAUGAAGAAAACGAAGAAUAGGCAUUGACAUAGAAGACAAUGAUAUGGAGUGACCAAAGAAAUAGCUUUGAAUCGAGUUACAAUCAUCCCGAAUUUUUACAGAAAGUGCACAUCCCAUCCGGAGAUUGAAAUAAGUGGUUUAGGGACAAAAUUGCUCGUUACUGGGAAUUGUUCAACAAGGAGGAGUUUGAAGAUGUUUUGUGAUUCUUUCUUUUCAUGUGUAAAUACCAUGUUGAUGAAUUUAUGAAGUGUUUACUCUAUAUUAUGGCAUUUAAGAAAUGAGAAGUUCUUAUACUA